rnacentral:lncRNA from 1 species
UUUCUUAUCAUCUCCCAAUAAACUAAGUGCAUUACAUGCAGACUGAAAAAUUUGAUGGACAAUAGAAUUUAUAGUUUUAAUUUCAUCAUAAUUUUUAGAUCUUUUUCCACAUUUAGAAGCAUUUUUAAAUAAUACAAUUCACCUGAACUUAGAUGAAUAUAAACUAUUCUAUCGAUUCGAUUUUUUAAUUUUCUUAUUGUCCAG